ACAGCCUCAAGCCGCGUGGAUUCCUUCCAGACGGCCGGAGCCCCUCCCCCGCCUUUCCUACCCGGCCCCGGCGCCGGGCUUCCCCCCGCCUUAGGAAGCUCGCCCUUCCAGCCAGCGGCCCCGACUGUACUGGCUCCGCGGCAGCCUUGGCUCAGGCGGCCAGCGCUGGACAGCGGCCGGGGAAUCCCGUGCUGCGCGGCGCGGCCGAGGGGCGGGCCUGGCCCGGAGAGUACCGCGGCUUCGGCCCUCUGCCGUGCGCCUCGCGCGUUUUGCAUCGCUGAGCGAAGCAGAGACGCCCCCCCUUUUCGGUCUCCUUAACUGGUUCGUCUUCGUAGUUGGAAUUCCUUUGCAUGAGGCUAUGGAAUAUACACUACCUUCUCUGGACGUUAACUAUUAGCUACAGCUUGAGGACUCCCAAAUUUAUGCCUUUAGCAACACGAUCCGAGCCCUGCAACUUUUCGACCUCAUUUUGAGCCAACAUUAUUUUGCUCCCUUAUUUUGUUGAAGUACUUUCUCCAGUUAUUUACUUAAAAUGUUCACAUGAGAGACAUACUAUUUGAUUCCUUGCUUGUACUAAGAUGUAAUGAUUGUAACGACUUCAUUUUCCUAGACCCAGAUAAAAGUCUCGCUUCAUUCAUGAAACUUUUUACA
rnacentral:lncRNA from 1 species